rnacentral:rRNA from 1 species
UACGUAGGGUGCGAGCGUUAAUCGGAAUUACUGGGCGUAAAGCGUGCGCAGGCGGUUCGUGAUGUCUGGUGUGAAAGCCCCGGGCUUAACCUGGGAAUUGCAUUGGAAACUAGCGGGCUGGAGUGUGGCAGAGGGGGGUGGAAUUCCACGUGUAGCAGUGAAAUGCGUAGAGAUGUGGAGGAUCACCGAUGGCGAAGGCAGCCCCCUGGGCUAACACUGACGCUCAUGCACGAAAGCGUGGGGAGCAAACAGG